UGGAGAGUAAAACCCUCGAGGCAGAGGGUUUUGUGACUUCUCCUUUGUUUCCCCACGCUCGCUUCCUCCUCCUUCCACUUCCUUGAAACCCAGCGCAGAGUGAGGGUCUCCUUCUCCGCCCGCUCCUGCUUAUCCUCUCAGCUCGGUUGAGCUCGAAAAAGUUUCUUUGGUUGUGGAAAGCAGCUGAUAGAAGGAGCAUUGAGAUGGCACAUGCUCGAGGAGGUGAUUUCAUGUUCUGUGAUUUGUGUGGAACGAUGAUGUUUUUAUAUUCAAAGGAGCAUGUUGAAUGUCCUUUGUGCAAAUUUAAGAAAAGUGCAAAAGAUCUAAGUGAAAGAGAAAUAAGCUAUCAAGUCAGCUCUGAGGAUAUGAGGAGGGAUCUAGGCAUCUCACAUUUUGAAGGAAAGAUGGAAGUGAAAGACAUGGAGAUAAAUAAGAAAUGUGAAAAAUGCGGCCACACAAAGCUUAAAUUUUCAACCAGACAAAUGAGAUCAGCAGACGAGGGCCAAACGACUUUUUUUCAUUGUGCUAAUUGCUCAUAUACAUUUACUGAGAACUGAGCAUCCAGAUGUUGGAGCUUUCAAGACUGACCUACAUAGAGCUCAGCAAUCUAGGCAAUGCAUGUGGUGGAAUCUACAACGAGGGGCUUGUUGGAAGCAUUACUUGUGCUGUUAAUUCCUUGGACCCUGGAUUUAGAGUUGUCUAAAGCCUCAAGAAUGUUUUGGAUGAAAGAGUAGUUAACAUGGAGGAGGAAAUUAAAAAGGUCAAAAUAGUAUAUUCAUCAUUUUUUAUGCCUACGUAUUCUUGUUGAGUUCAAAGGUUUAUUAAGUAAAGGAGACGGGUGAAGAAAUGUGUGGCUAAGCAUUAUCCCUGUUAAGGAAAACUUGGAUAUUUUCCUAGAUUGCCAUAUAGACUUGAAUUUGAGUAUUUGGCUUGCAAUAUAAGAACGUACAGAGAAGGACUUCUGAGCUUCUGAAACAACAAUGAGAAAGAAACCAUGCUGAUUUUGUUAGUUCUUCAUGGAUUACGAGUUGCUAUCCAUGUGAAAUUGUAGUUUCCAGAAAUUUAUAUUUAUUUAACAAGCUUCCAGUACAAAUUUACAAGUUUAUUGAUCCUCUUGAGCUCUGUCAAUCAUGUUGAACUCACAUCAAUGAUCCAUUACCGCUGGCACUUCCACUGGAUACUGGUCGAUCCUGUCUGACCAAACAUUCAAAUUAUCUGGUUUGAUCUUGGAAAUGCACUUCCAAACUGCACUAUUACAUUUAAAUCCACUCCCAAAUGCCAGUUGCCAAACCCUGUCACCCUGUCUAACCCUACCUUUUGCUUCAAGAUAGCUCAGUGAGUACCAAGUUGAUGAAGAAGAUGUGUUCCCAAACCUAUAAAGUGUCAUUUUUGAUGCCUCCACAUCCCUAUCUUUCAACUUAAGGAACUCCUUUAUAGCUCCAAUCACAGCUCUGCCACCAGCAUGAAUGCAAAAGUGAUCAAAAGCCUUCUUGAAGUCUGGAAUGCAGGAACCUCUCUUCUUUGCAGGAGGCCAAACUUUCUUCCACAUAAUUGAUAGACCAUAUUGGAUUAGCUCAGAGUAAGGCAGCACAAGCGCAGCUAAUGUUGUCAUGUUAGUUUUCAGUGCUUCUCCGGCUACUUGCGGGAUGGAUCUCGACAAUGAUACUCCGGUGUACCCUUCAUCAUCUGCUUCCUGAACAACACAUUUGUAUGAAUUAUCCUUAGAUCCAAGAUGAGUCCUAACCAGAUGUUGGAGUUCAUAUUUAGCAAUCUGUCUGUCACUUUUGCGAUUUGAUAGCAAAAUCGCAGCACCUCCCAUUCGAAACAAGCAGUUUGCCAGUAGCAUAGACUUGACUUGUCCAUGGUACAUGUUGGAACUCACCGAUUCCAUGCUGAGGACUAGAGCCAAAGAGUUGUUGUGCGCUCCGAGGAGGUCUCGAGCUAGCGAAAUUGACAAGAGGCCAGCACUGCAGCCCAUCCCAGAAAGAUUGAAGCUCCUUAUAUUGCUUCUAAAUCCAAAUUUAUUGAUCAUCAUUGUGGCUAAAGAUGGAGUGGGGCAUACAAGACUGCAAUUUGUGAUGAUAAUGUCAACGCUUUUCGGAUCAAUCCUGUGCUUGGUGAAUAGGUCUUGGACUAUUGUGAAUAGCACCAUUUCCACUUCUUCAAUGGUAGAACUCAAGGAAAGAUCACAUGGAAAUUGGUGGACUCCCGUGGGCAAGAAGAGAGGGGAACUCGGAGAGUGUUUGGUGCCUUGUAGCACAUGAAGUCAACAAGAUAAACAUGCUUGGAAUUGAAUGAAAGGUACAAAGCAAUUGCCACCGAGAGAGUAACCGCUGCUAGCACUCUGAAAUCAGCAACCAGGAUUAAGAUUUCAGCAAUCCUGGUUUGCUCUAACAUGAAGCUCUGAUCUUUUGCCAUUUUUCUGUUCUUGGGUGAAUCUUGAAUCAUGCUCUAGUAAGCUAUAAUGUCUCUAUAUAUGAGUGAACGCGAUUAAUUUUUA